rnacentral:rRNA from 1 species
AGCGAGGCUGUGAAGCGGAGCAAAUCUCAAAAACCGGUCCCAGUUCGGAUUGUAGGCUGCAACUCGCCUUCAUGAAGUCGGAAUUACUAGUAAUGGCAGGUCAGCAUACUGCCGUGAAUACGUUCCCGGGCCUUGUACACACCGCCCGUCACACCAUGAGAGUUGGGAAUACCCGAAGCCUGUGAGCCAACAAACGAGGCAGCAGUCGAAGGUAGAAUCAAUGAUUGGGGUGAAGUCGUAACAAGGUAUC